rfam:Callithrix jacchus chromosome 4, whole genome shotgun sequence
AAAACCGCCAGCCUCAGAAGCGGGUUUUGCAGCUCUUUGUCGUCUCCUGUAGCCACUUCGCGGUCCCAAGGCUUUCCAGAGCGAACCUGUGCGGCUCCAGGCAGCGGCGCAUAGACUUUCCGGCGUCCGGAAGGAGCGAGCUCUAAGUCGCGGAUCCCGUCCGCCGUUUCCAGGCCCGAAUCUCAGAGGAGCGCGGCAGACAGAGCGGGGCACCGGCAUGG